rnacentral:lncRNA from 1 species
GCUGCAGAUGAAGCAGAAGAGUAACUCUCAGAUAUAUGUUGUCAAGUGUUGAGAGGUUCCCUCAUGCAUUUAGAAUCACCAUCGAACUACAAAAUUAAAGGAAGUCACCUCCACCUGCCUCUCCAUUUGUAAUUCAAAAACAUGAUCUCGGUGAAACUGAGGAAGUGUUUAUUUGAUAUGUAAAACAUGAUCUGCAGUGAUGUGUCAUUUGGUCAGGCCAUGUAGUGCCUGAGUCAAUAUGAAGUUGAACUGGAGGAUGUCGGUGUAGUGUUAACUUUGGCUCAACUUCAUAUGGACUGUUGUGCUACAUGGUCUGACCAAAUGAUACACUGUAAAGUUUAUGAAGCGAAAUGAAACAUAACCUUUCCAUAUACUUCUUGGCUCACCUUUUUGCCAUUGUCUUCUGUGCCUAGAUCAUGAAAAACUGGUGUAUCAUCAUCAUCAUCAUCAUCAUUAUUAUUGGUGCCUUGCAGCUCACUUCUGUUGUGGGUGUAAAUGUUUUUUUUAUUGGCCUCUGUUUAUUUUUAUAGUAAGUAACUUGUUUGUUUUCCAUUGCCCCCUUUUUUUGUGUGUUGUUAACUUCUGUUGUGGCGUUUUAUCUGCGCUGUUUCCUUUUUCUAUUUGCAGCGGGCUUUUGUUGUUAUUUGUAUUUUUUUUGGGCAUCAGUAACUUCUGUUGUGACUUGUAUCAUUAUUUCAUUUGCAGCAGUGGCGGUUCUCGGCCACCGUACAAGGGCGAAGCAUUGGGCGGACGCCGAGGACUCCACCCUCUGCCGCCUGGGACGUCGUUGAGCUCGGGGCGCGGCUUCCUUCCGGUCGGUGAACUGGAGCCGAGACGUCGCGUCGACGAUAGCGGAAUAACUUGUUAUGCGUUAACUUCACGCCUUUUUGAGAACUUUGUCAUCGUGAGAGAAGAGCGGAUGAAAAGAUGUGAAGAAUUGGGAUUUGGUGUCACUCACGAGGUCAGUAACUAACAAACCCAACAAUUGUAACGCAGGUUCGCGUUAGCCGCGUGGCUAACCGUCAGCCUCGGUCUGAUCAGUGUUUGUGUCUUAGUACUGUGUAGGCGUUGAAGUGAACCCGCAGAAAGAGGUCUGUUUGUUUGUCUGUGAAUUAUCUGUUUAUGUUUUUAAAGGUGUUACAUCACUAUAGUUUUGGUGUAGUUAAGUUUGCUCUGACAGGUGAUUAGUGUCACCUGUCUGUCUGUCUGUCUGUCUGUCUGUCUGUGGAGGGGUGCUGGGCAGAAAGAGUCUACUGAAAUGCAGGGAUGCUGUUGAGUUAGUAAAAUGUCAUUUAAAUGAAAGUAAUCAUCCUAAAAAAAAGACAAUAGUAAGUUGAGUAAAGUGACAGUACUGUGAGUUAUGGUGAUCUGUCACUUGUUCCCCUGUGUUAGUACCUUUUGUCUGAUAGGCUGUUUUUUUUCUCUGUUGAACACAGGAGGUGAACCUGGUGUAUCCUGUGGGGAGCUCCUGGAGUCAGUUUGAGAGUGUUAGUGACUCAGGUAUGGGGUUGGUGAUGUCAAUGUGAAAUGAUAGUAAAGCAAAUAAAGGUUAGGACUGAGUUGUUUGCGUUAUCAACAUGUGAAUGAGUGUGUAUAUGUGUGGUGAGUAUGUGGAUGGAUGGAUGGAUGGAUGGAUGGAUGGAUGGAUGGAUUUUUGUCCUGAAUAAAAUGGAUGAAAGUUUAACUAAUGUGUGUUUAGACGAGAUGACUGUUUGGUCUGCAGGUACCUGUUCAAAAAAUUGUAAAUGAAAUAAAGUUCAAUAAAGUUAAUUAUUAGUGUUGUCAUCAUCAUCAUCAUCAUCAUCAUCAUCAUCAUCAUCAUCAUUGUAAAUCAUCAUUAUCCUCAUGUCAGUAAGGAGGAAAAAGUUAAACAUCUGAAUCUGUCACAUGUUUGUUGAUGGACUCAUGUUGUGGCCAUAUUGAGGUUGGGUCUAUGUAACAAAGAUCUAACAAAGGGUUAGGUCUUGACCUGGUGUUUUGGAGAGUAUCUUGAGGUAGUGGUAGUUGAGAGAUGGUGCUCAAUGGAUAAAAGUUGAUAGAUUGAUUGUAGAAGCCUGUGUCUUCAUAAAGUGUCUUUCGUGAGUGGAUCAGACACAGUAGACUAUGAGCAGCUGAUGAUACUGCAUCUCACUCUAUCGCAGAUAGUGGAAAGUUGACGCUGGAUCUCAAGCACCUUGGAUUGUGGUCCCUUUGUGAUCUUCCUCCAUACUCAGGAAUGUUGAUGUUCAGAUGGGUUGCAGCUCCAAAGAUGGUCUUCUCAAAGCAUGACUUUGGAUGUUUAAGUGAUAUUCCAGUGCUUGUUAGCUGAGGUGAGGUGAGGCUCUUGAUGGUGUUGUCUGUAGUUUGUGAGUGUGUUGAUGGCAGCAACAGUGGUAGUCCAUGUCCUGGACCUGCCUAUGUGUUGAGGCUCUUGAUGCUGUGACUCAGUUCAGUGUCCAUGGUCUCCUUAUCCUCCCUGACUUUUCCCUUUAGUCAUGUGUCCCUGAAGCAGCUUCAUAUGGACUGUGUAACCAGCCAGACCCUGAAACAGUGAUGUUCUUUGGAGGAAUGUCUCCAUGGAGCAUGUCAGUGAUGGUGUUCAGGGUGAUAAUGGAGUCAAGGUCCAAGGUGUGUGUGUGUGUGUGUGUGUGUGUGUGUGUGUGUGUGUGUGUGUGUGUGUGUGUGGGGGGUGGCGGCUCCAGCCAGAAGGGGUCAUCAGAGUCAAUGUGUAAUACAUGUGUAAUAAAGGGUUAGUGCAACACAAAUGGGUACUGAAGAGCAGACAGAGGUGAGGGAAUCAGAGAUUGACUGUCACAGGAUGUGUCACAUGUCUUUUAUUUGGGCUUGGGUCAGACAACCAUGGGUACAGUCAGACAUACACAUCUUAUGGUAAUGACAUACAGAAUGGACAGUACACCAAGAGCCAACAGUGCUGAUGCGUACAAGGCCCACAGCCAAGCCUUUGGGUGUAGUCAUGGGUUAGGAUUCCUGUUGAUUGGCGGGUGGGAUUAAUGGAGGUGGUUCCCACCUUCUGUAGUUUGCCUCAUUGAUGACUAAUGAGUUUCAGAUGUGCAUCAUCACCCUUGGUCAAUGCUGAAUCUGUGGGUGAAGUCAGGGGUUCCCGUUGAUCGAUGUGACCUUCCACUCUUGAUGGGCGGGCUAGAGGGAGAAAACAGGCGAUGCAUUGAUGCGUAAGGAGUUUCACCUGUGUGCCGUUGCCGAAGUGGGCUUCAGCUGUGCGGGUAGGUGCUAUAUGAGUAGACACAGUUGACCCUUGGGCGCCAGCCCGUGUGCGUCGGCCCGUCUGUGCGAAGACCGUACUUGCAAAGA